GAUGAACGCUAGCGGGAGGCUUAACACAUGCAAGUCGAGCGGGAUUCCCUUCGGGGAUGAGAGCGGCGCACGGGUGCGUAACGCGUAUGCAACCUGCCUUAUACAGGGGGAUAGCCCAUGGAAACGUGGAUUAAUAUCCCAUAGGAUUACCGGUUCGCAUGAAUUGGUAAUUAAAACUGCGGUGGUAUAAGAUGGGCAUGCGUCUGAUUAGGUAGUUGGUAGGGUAACGGCCUACCAAGCCGACGAUCAGUAGGGGUUCUGAGAGGAUUACCCCCCACACUGGUACUGAGACACGGACCAGACUCCUACGGGAGGCAGCAGUGAGGAAUAUUGGUCAAUGGGC
rnacentral:rRNA from 1 species